ensembl:snRNA U1 U1 spliceosomal RNA
AUACUUACUUGGCAGGGGAGAUGUCAUGAAAGUUUUCCCAGGCCGAGGCUCAUCCAAUGCAUGCCAGAUGUGAUGCCCUCCAUGGUUUCCCCAAAUGUGGGAAACUUGAUGGCACAAUUGCACAAUUUGUGAUAGUAGGGAUUGUGUUUGCACACACACAGA